AAUGUAAAGGGACUAAAUCACGUGAAGUACAGAGUGUCUCGACAAUGAUAAGAUUAGAGUUGUUUUUGAGCAACAGUGUAGAUAAUUAGAGCAGAACCAGUGUCCUUGUACUGUCUGCAAAUGUAUAAUCAAGCUUGUGAUGAUUGAAUGUUGCUUGUCAAUCAACAGCAAGAAUUGUUUGAGACACGAGUUAAGCAUGAGGUGAUCGCAAAUAAUCAUAUAUAUAAACUAAUGGGACUGCCCCAUUGGUAGAGGGAGAGUACUAACUCUUCUGAGAGACGUGCUAUUGUAUUGCCUCUCGCUUUCCCUCUCCUUGCUGCAAGUAUUAAAUGAACAAUAUUUCUGAGCUAACUCUGUUUGUGAGUGUUCGUUUAAUCCUAGCUACAGCGACUACAUCCUGGGUUCGACAAUUUGGAGGUUUCACCGAGAUGGUAUGCCUGAGCAUUCGGGAAACGGACGACUAAGGGAGGGAUUGUUAGUGAAUAAUUUCACCGCGGUAUACAAACGUUUUUUAAAACAGAUACAAGAGCUCCAACAACCGGCUGCAACUGAAGCUUGUCACCGUUUGUGCCAGGAGAUUUUGUAUAUGUGAAGGUGCUCAAACGUAAAGGUGGACUUUCUCUCCGUUGGGAAGGACCUUAUCAAAUAUUACUAACAACCUUUACUGCAGUGAAAGUACAAGAAAAAUCAACAUGGGUACAUGCCUCACACUGCAAAAAGGCGCCAGUGCAGGAUGUAGACAUGCUGAGACUGAAGGACAAGGAAGAAACAGACUCAGACAGCGAGCAGAGCGACGUGAGUCAAGGGUCGGGUCACAGCCGCAGUUCCAGUUUAUCUUCUAUUUCCUCCAAUUAGUGCUGUCACAGUUGACGCGUAUUUGGUGUUUAUUAAUGUGUAUUGUUUUAUUUUCCUUCGUAGUUAGAUCUCUCGGUGUUGGGUCCAGUACUUACUCAAACACUACUAAUUGCAUGAUCACCUCGUGUUAUAGCUUUUCUAUGCCAGUUAACAACUCCGUCGUUAUGUGUAGCAAUUUAACUGAAUGUUAUUCCCUUUUAUCUAACAAUUGUAAUAGAUCUAUUACUUGUAUACUAGUAUAUUCAUUUAAACUUUGUUAUUGUCAUGCUAUAUUUAACUGUACUACUCAACCCCUUUGCCGUCCAAACAGAACUGGUACGGAUGAAUUUAUUAUAUACAAUAAUAAUGGUUCUAAGGAAAGUGGUGACUCAAGCAGCAAUGGAUUUCCUAGUGUUUAUCCCUCUGCGGUUAAUAAUUCGAAGCUUACCAAUAUGCAAAUCACAGAUGCCAAUUUAUUCCCAAUCAAAUUUACUUUUCAUUCUUCUACCCGAUUCAUCUCCUCCUAAGCCCUUCAAAAUUUACAAUAUGUUUAUUCAAAUGGUUUCAGCGUUUGUGGAUCAUAAAAAUAACUCACAUCACUAUGUUUGUGGAAUGUCUCCUCGGUCAGUGCACAUGGGAUUCCCUAUGAUGACUAUACCUGUGACACACUGUGAGUUUUGCAGUAUGAUGAAACUGUUGGGAAUUGAUGAAAAUGGGACUCAAUGUUCUCUAAUUAAAUCGCAGCCAACACAUAUCACGUGUAACAACAAACCUUUUGUACAUGGUGGAUGUAAUCGUGACUGCGGUAAACUGUUGUUUUUGGGUUGUAUAACUUAUGUAUAAGUAGCUCCAGUGGCCAGUUUUUCUCGGAAAUUUGAAUGCCAAGUUAUGCAAGAAUGUUUAUGACUAUGGACACUCUGCAUACAGUACUGAAAAUUCACAUUUCUCUACCUAUCCCCUGAAUUGUGAAACAAAUUUGCAACAAGCUGUACAACGCAUGGUGUCAUAUUCGACUGCCCAAAAAAUGUGCUAUUCCCUCAGCACUACAGAGUUUUAAAUGGAACUGUAAUGAUACAAUUUAUGAUUACUUACCUGCUGACUUUCAGGGUCUCUGUGCUUUAGGGCAUUAUUUACCGAUGAUCCGAUUGGCUAAACAAAUGCUUACUGAGAUGGGCCUCCGAACGCGCCGAUCAAUUGAUUCAUUCUAUACCAAUCAUCAGUCUACAUGGACACGGGUUUUCGGUGCGCUAUUACCCAAUUACGGAAUGAUGUGUGCCUUAGAUCAAAUUGAGGAAUUGGCUGCCGAUGUUUCGAAACUUGCUAAUGCCACAUCUGCAGCACUCGCAUUGGUUAAUAAGGAAAUGAAAGAAAUUAGGGCUAUGACAUUACAAAAUCGUAUGGCUUUAGAUUUUGUACUUGCAUAUACGGAAAGAGUGUGUAAGUUAAUCGGACCAGAAUGUUUUAUGUCAAUUGAUGACUUUUCGGGGCAAAUUUCUAAUUAUACUGACCAAAUUAAUAAAACAGGGAAAGACGCUGCAGGAAUCAUUAAUAACGAUCAAGGCUGGGGUUUGUUUGGUUGGUUUACGGGUCUAUUUGACAAAUUAGAAGGAUGGAUUAAGACCGGAGUAAUGUACUCACUCAAAAUAAUUAUGAUCAUUAUUGUUUUGCAUGUACUCAUUAAAAUACUUAUAACCUGUUGUAACCAAUAUACCAAGAGCACUGCAAAGAAGCUUGCAUUUUUAGAGCCAGGAAGAAGUGAGACAAGACAAGAAAUUGAGUUAUCCUAAGUAAGGAUAAAAGGGAGGAGUGUGGGAAAUGAAAAGGCACUAAAUCACGUGAAGUACAGAGUGUCUCGACAAUGAUAAGAUUAGAGUUGUUUUUGAGCAACAGUGUAGAUAAUUAGAGCAGAACCAGUGUCCUUGUACUGUCUGCAAAUGUAUAAUCAAGCUUGUGAUGAUUGAAUGUUGCUUGUCAAUCAACAGCAAGAAUUGUUUGAGACACGAGUUAAGCAUGAGGUGAUCGCAAAUAAUCAUAUAUAUAAACUAAUGGGACUGCCCCAUUGGUAGAGGGAGAGUACUAACUCUUCUGAGAGACGUGCUAUUGUAUUGCCUCUCGCUUUCCCUCUCCUUGCUGCAAGUAUUAAAUGAACAAUAUUUCUGAGCUAA